rnacentral:rRNA from 1 species
CUAAGAAUCUUGCGCAAUGGGCGAAAGCCUGACGCAGCAACGCCGCGUGCGGGAGGAAGGCCUUCGGGUUGUAAACCGCUUUUGCGAGGGAAGAAGUUCUGACGGUACCUCGCGAAUAAGUCACGGCUAACUACGUGCCAGCAGCCGCGGUAAUACGUAGGUGACGAGCGUUGUCCGGAUUUACUGGGCGUAAAGCGCCCGCAGGCGGCCUCGCAAGUUUCAGGUGAAAUCUCCCGGCUCAACCGGGAGGGGUCCUGGAAAACUGCGAGGCUUGAGGCAGGGAGGGGAAUGCGGAAUUUCCGGUGUAGCGGUGAAAUGCGUAGAUAUCGGAAGGAACACCAGCGGCGAAGGCGGCAUUCUGGCCCUGUCCUGACGCUCAGGGGCGAAAGCGUGGGGAGCGAACCGG